UACGUAGGGUGCGAGCGUUAAUCGGAAUUACUGGGCGUAAAGCGGGCGUAGGCGGUCGGGUAAGACCGAUGUGAAAUCCCGAGGCUCAACCUCGGGCUUGCAUCGGGUACGGGCAGACUAGAGUGCGGUAGGGGAGACUGGAAUUCCUGGUGUAGUGGUGGAAUGCGCAGAUAUCGGGAGGAACACCCGUAGCGAAGGCGGCACUCUGGGCCGGUACUGACGCUGAGGAGCGAAGGCGUGGGGAGCAAACAGG
rnacentral:rRNA from 1 species